rnacentral:rRNA from 1 species
GCAACUCGCCUACAUGAAGUCGGAAUUGCUAGUAAUCGCGGAUCAGCAUGCCGCGGUGAAUACGUUCCCGGGCCUUGUACACACCGCCCGUCACACCAUGGGAGUCGGUAACACCCGAAGCCUGUAGUCUAACCGCAAGGAGGACGNAGUCGAAGGUGGGAUUGAUGACUGGGGUGAAGUCGUAACAAGGUAGC